rnacentral:tRNA from 1 species
UUGUUAGGUAUUAUAUCAGCAGAAGAUUGCGGGUCAAGCCCGCAAUGACGAUGUGUUUCAUUGUAGGGGCGGGUUUGAAACCCGCCCCUACGGUC